GAGAUAAGGUAAGUAAACAAGGGCACACGGGGGAUGCCUAGGCUCUCAGAGGCGAAGAAGGACGUGAUAAGCUGCGAAAAGCCGCGGGGAUUGGCACAUACGAGGUGAUCCGCGGGUAUCCGAAUGGGGCAACCCACCUGUGUGAAGCACAGGGGCGUCUAUCUUUAGUGGUAGACGGGCAAACCCGGGGAACUGAAACAUCUAAGUACCCGGAGGAACAGAAAAUAACAAUGAUUCCCUAAGUAGUGGCGAGCGAACGGGGACGAGCCCAAACCGGGUUGGUUACGGCCAGCGCGGGGUUGUAGGACCUCAACAUCUGAUUGUUUGAUUUUAGCUGAACGACGUGGGAAAGUCGACCAUAGACGGUGAGAGUCCGGUAAGCGAGAGAAUCAAGCACGGUAGAGGAUUCCUGAGUAGGGGGGACCGGAGAAAUCCCCUCUGAAUCCAGCGGCACCAUCCGCUAAGGCUACAUACUCCUGAGAGACCGAUAGUGAACCAGUACCGUGAGGGAAAGGUGAAAAGAACCUCGAAUAGAGGAGUGAAAAGAACCUGAAACCGUGUGCUUACAAGCGGUCGGAGCCCUUUUGUGGGGUGACGGCGUGCCUUUUGCAUAAUGAGCCUACGAGUUACUCCUCCCUGGCAAGGUUAAAUGACUCAAGUCAUGGAGCCGCAGCGAAAGCGAGUCUGAAUAGGGCGCAGAGUCAGGGGGGUAGACGCGAAACUUUGUGAUCUACCCAUGACCAGGGUGAAGGUUGGGUAAAACCAACUGGAGGCCCGAACCAGUUUCCGUUGAAAAGGAUUUGGAUGAGUUGUGGGUAGGGGUGAAAGGCCAAUCAAACUGAGAAAUAGCUCGUACUCCCCGAAAUGUAUUUAGGUACAGCGUCGGCGUUGAGUUACGUGGAGGUAGAGCUACCGAUUGGACUAGGGGGUGUCAAAGCCUACCGAAUCCAGACGAACUCCGAAUGCCACGUAAUAUAGCCGGCAGUGAGGCGUGGGGUGCUAAGGUCCCAUGCCGAGAGGGAAAGAACCCAGACCAUCCGCUAAGGUCCCUAAAUUCGGACUAAGUUGAACAAAGGAGGUCCACUUGCCUUGACAGCCAGGAUGUUGGCUUGGAAGCAGCCAUUCAUUUAAAGAGUGCGUAACAGCUCACUGGUCGAGCGAGAGGGCAUCGAUAAUACGCGGGCAUCAAGUCCGGUACCGAAGCGAUGGAUUUGCAUUAUAUGCAAGUGGUAGGGGAGCAUUCUAGCAGCGGUGAAGGUAUGCUGUCAGGCGUGCUGGAGCGGCUAGAAAAGCAAAUGUAGGCAUGAGUAACGAUAAGGCGGGUGAGAAACCCGCCCCCCGAUAGACUAAGGUUUCCUGCUCAACGCUAAUCGGAGCAGGGUUAGUCGGGACCUAAGGCUACGCCGAGAGGCUACGUCGAUGGACAGCUGGUUGAUAUUCCAGCACUUACAAUGAGAAGUGAUGCAGUGACGCAGAAGUGAAAGUACCGCGGGCGGACGGAAGUGCCCGUUGAAGCGCGUAGGUAUAGAGACAGUAGGUAAAUCCGCUGACUUUGCUGAAACGUGAUAGUACCCUACGGCCUCGGCCACGGGGAUAGUGUACCUAAUCAGACUGCCAAGAAAACCUGCUAAGCGUUUUAAUCUUAUUGUAACCCGUACCGCAAACCGACACAGGUAGUCAAGGAGAGUAUCCUGAGGGGCUCGAGUGAAUCACGGCCAAGGAACUCGGCAAAAUGGACCUGUAACUUCGGGAGAAGGGUCGCUUCCUUGUCGCAAGACAAGAAGCCGCAGUGAAAAGGCCCAGGCGACUGUUUAACAAAAACACAUGACUUUGCGAACGCGUAAGCGGAAGUAUAAGGUCUGACACCUGCCCGGUGCCGGAAGGUUAAGAGGGGAACUUAGUCGCAAGGCGAAGGUUUGAAUCGAAGCCCCGGUAAACGGCGGCCGUAACUAUAACGGUCCUAAGGUAGCGAAAUUCCUUGUCGGGUAAGUUCCGACCUGCACGAAUGGUGUAACGAUCUGGGCGCUGUCUCAGCCGUGAGCUCGGUGAAAUUGUAGUCUCGGUGAAGAUGCCGAGUACCCGCCACGGGACGGAAAGACCCCGUGCACCUUUACUAUAGCUUGACAUUGACGCUGGGUAACACAUGUGUAGGAUAGGUGGGAGGCUACGAGCCGGGGGCGCCAGCUCUCGGGGAGCCAACGUUGAAAUACCACCCUUGUGUUACUCGGUGCCUAAUCUCCGAGACGGGGAAACAGUGUCUGGUGGGUAGUUUGACUGGGGUGGUCGCCUCCAAAAGAGUAUCGGAGGCUUUCAAAGGUCCGCUCAGUACGCUUGGUAACCGUACGCAGAGCGCAAUAGCAGAAGCGGGCUUGACUGUGAGGCCUACAAGCCGAGCAGGGUCGAAAGACGGAUAUAGUGAUCCGGUGGUUCCGCAUGGAAGGGCCAUCGCUCAAAGGAUAAAAGGUACGCCGGGGAUAACAGGCUGAUCUCCCCCAAGAGCUCAUAUCGACGGGGAGGUUUGGCACCUCGAUGUCGGCUCGUCACGUCCUGGGGCUGGAGAAGGUCCCAAGGGUUCGGCUGUUCGCCGAUUAAAGUGGCACGCGAGCUGGGUUCAGAACGUCGUGAGACAGUUCGGUCCCUAUCUGUGGUGGGCGUUAGAGAUUUGCGAGGACCUGUCCUUAGUACGAGAGGACCGGGAUGGACCAGCCGCUAGUGCACCGGUUGUGGCGCCAGCUGCAGCGCCGGGUAGCUACGCUGGGAUGAGAUAAGCGCUGAAAGCAUCUAAGUGCGAAACUCACCUCAAGAUGAGAUCUCUCAUAUACGAAGAGUCGUGGUAGACUACCACGUCGAUAGGCUACAGGUGGAAGGUCCGAAAUGGCCGAGCCGAGUAGUACUAAUGACUCGAACACUUACCUAAUA
rnacentral:rRNA from 1 species